rnacentral:tRNA from 1 species
GCGGGAUUAGUUUAAUGGCAGAACGUCAGUUUUCCAAACUGAGAGCAGGGGUUCGAUUCCCCUAUCCCGCA